rnacentral:lncRNA from 1 species
AAAAUAUUUUAGAUUUAAUUACAGUUUUAUUAUAUUACAAACUAUCUAUUGACAACUUAAAGUCAUAAGCAACUAUCAAAUUACAGUUCAUCGAAUUAUAAUGAAAUACUGUAAUUAUCAUUGUCAGACUUGCUAAACUGUGAAAACUAAAAUUGAGAUCGAUUCCAGAUUUUGUUUAACAGCACAUAAAAAUGAUAUACAGUACUGUAUUAGAACAAAAUCCUGCUGCCCCGGUUGACUUUUUAAAAAAUUUCUAUUCCAUUUCUGCAUAACAAUUGACCAACUACUUGAGCAAUAACUAAUUUCGUAAUAACAUAAAUAUAUAAUAAUCCAUUACUAAAUAUAAAUGCCUGUUAAUUUUACUUUCUUACUGAUCUUCAGGUCUUUACAAUUAUGGACUACAAAGCAACAAAAUACUGUAAAAUAUAAAUCUUUAAAUGAAAUUAUUUCUCUGAAUCUACAAUUUCAUAUCUUUCUCUCCUUUUGCAUGUUAUUACUGAUAGUUCAACUUAAUCUCAUGAAUCCGUUAACUUUUUCAGUACAUUCAAAUUGACAUUUAAU